rnacentral:tRNA from 2 species
GGGGCUGUAGCUCAGCUUGGAAGAGCGCUUGCAUGGCAUGCAAGAGGUCACGGGUUCAAGUCCCGUCAGCUCCA